UACGAAGGGGGCUAGCGUUGCUCGGAAUUACUGGGCGUAAAGGGCGCGUAGGCGGAUAGUUUAGUCAGAGGUAAAAGCCCAGGGCUCAACCUUGGAACUGCCUUUGAUACUGGCUAUCUUGAGUACGGGAGAGGUGUGUGGAACUCCGAGUGUAGAGGUGAAAUUCGUAGAUAUUCGGAAGAACACCAGUGGCGAAGGCGACACACUGGCCCGUUACUGACGCUGAGGCGCGAAAGCGCGGGGAGCAAACAGG
rnacentral:rRNA from 1 species